rnacentral:rRNA from 1 species
GAUGAACGCUGGCGGCGUGCCUAAUACAUGCAAGUCGAACGCUUCUUUUUCCACCGGAGCUUGCUCCACCGGAAAAAGAGGAGUGGCGAACGGGUGAGUAACACGUGGGUAACCUGCCCAUCAGAAGGGGAUAACACUUGGAAACAGGUGCUAAUACCGUAUAACAAUCAAAACCGCAUGGUUUUGAUUUGAAAGGCGCUUUCGGGUGUCGCCGAUGGAUGGACCCGCGGUGCAUUAGCUAGUUGGUGAGGUAACGGCUCACCAAGGCCACGAUGCAUAGCCGACCUGAGUGGGUGAUCGGCCACAUUGGGACGGAGACACGGCCCAAACUCCUACGGGAGGCAGCAGUAGGGAAUCUUCGGCAAUGGACGAAAGUCUGACCGAGCAACGCCGCGUGAGUGAAGAAGGUUUUCGGAUCGUAAAACUCUGUUGUUAGAGAAGAACAAGGAUGAGAGUAACUGUUCAUCCCUUGACGGUAUCUAACCAGAAAGCCACGGCUAACUACGUGCCAGCCGCCGCAGUAA